AGAGAAUGUGCUGUGCUGAUAUGGUUUAUGUAAUAUUUUUCAAAAUCUUUCAAUAAUUUGGGUUUAUGUGUUCUACUAGAUCCUGAACUCUUGUCUCAAAAUGAUUGAGAAGAGAGUAGAGAACCUGUUUGCUGCAGACAGCUAUGUCAUUUCCUCUUGGUUCCCACCAUCAUCGAGGAACCCCAUGGAUCACCUUUCGGAUAAUGCAGCCAGUCUGCAGUG